rnacentral:rRNA from 1 species
GAUGAACGCUAGCGGCAGGCUUAACACAUGCAAGUCGAGGGGUAUAGGUUUUCGGACCUAGAGACCGGCGCACGGGUGCGUAACGCGUAUGCAAUCUACCUUUUACAGAGAGAUAGCCCAGAGAAAUUUGGAUUAAUACCUCAUAGUAUUAUUUAAUGGCAUCAUUUAAUAAUUAAAGUUCCAACGGUAAAAGAUGAGCAUGCGUCCCAUUAGCUAGAUGGUAAGGUAACGGCUUACCAUGGCGACGAUGGGUAGGGGUCCUGAGAGGGAGAUCCCCCACACUGGUACUGAGACACGGACCAGACUCCUACGGGAGGCAGCAGUGAGGAAUAUUGGUCAAUGGGCGCAAGCCUGAACCAGCCAUGCCGCGUGCAGGAUGACGGUUCUAUGGAUUGUAAACUGCUUUUGUACAGGAAGAAACACUGGUUCGUGAACCAGCUUGACGGUACUGUAAGAAUAAGGAUCGGCUAACUCCGUGCCAGCCGCCGCAGUAAAAC